rnacentral:rRNA from 1 species
UACGUAGGGGGCAAGCGUUGUCCGGAAUCAUUGGGCGUAAAGCGCGUGUAGGCGGUUCGGUAAGUCUGCUGUGAAAAGUCCAGGGCUCAACCCUGGGAUGCCGGGUGGAUACUGUCGAACUAGAGUACGGAAGAGGCGAGUGGAAUUCCCGGUGUAGCGGUGAAAUGCGCAGAUAUCGGGAGGAACACCAAUUGCGAAGGCAGCUCGCUGGGACGUCACUGACGCUGAGACGCGAAAAGCGUGGGGGAGCAAACAGGGAUUAAGAA